UUUCCGGUUGAUCCUGCCAGAGGUCACUGCUAUCGGGGUUCGAUUAAGCCAUGCGAGUCGAGAGGGUUCGGCCCUCGGCGUACUGCUCAGUAACACGUGGAUAACCUGCCCUAAGGAAGGGGAUACCCCCGGGAAACUGGGUAUAAUACCCUAUAGAUUACAGAUGCUGGAAUGCCCUGUAAUCGAAAGUUCCGACGCCUUAGGAUGGAUCUGCGGCCGAUUAGGUUGUUGUCGGGGUAAUGGCCCAACAAGCCAGUGAUCGGUACGGGUUGUGGGAGCAAGAGCCCGGAGUUGGAUUCUGAGACACGAAUCCAGGCCCUACGGGGCGCAGCAGGCGCGAAAACUUUACAAUGCGGGCAACCGUGAUAAGGGAACCUCGAGUGCCUGUAUAUGCAGGCUGUCCAGGUGUCUAAAACACACCUGAAGAAAGGGCCGGGCAAGACCGGUGCCAGCCGCCGCGGUAAUACCGGCGGCUCGAGUGGUGGCCACUUUUAUUGGGCUUAAAGCGUUCGUAGCUGGGUCGUUAAGUCUCUUGGGAAAUCCGGCAGCUCAACUGUCGGGCGUCUAAGAGAUACUGGCGAUCUUGGAACCGGGAGAGGUGAGGGGUACUUCGGGGGUAGGAGUGAAAUCCUGUAAUCCUCGAGGGACCACCUGUGGCGAAGGCGCCUCACCAGAACGGCUUCGACAGUGAGGGACGAAAGCUGGGGGAGCAAACCGGAUUAGAUACCCGGGUAGUCCCAGCCGUAAACGAUGUGCGUUAGGUGUAUCAACGACCAUGAGUCGUUGAGGUGCCGAAGGGAAACCGUGAAACGUACCGCCUGGGAAGUACGGUCGCAAGGCUGAAACUUAAAGGAAUUGGCGGGGGAGCACCACAACAGGUGGAGCCUGCGGUUUAAUUGGACUCAACGCCGGA
rnacentral:rRNA from 1 species